rnacentral:rRNA from 1 species
CGGAGGGUGCGAGCGUUGUUCGGAAUUAUUGGGCGUAAAGCGCGUGUAGGUGGCUCCUUAAGUCUGAUGUGAAAGCCCCGGGCUCAACCUGGGAAGUGCAUUGGAAACUGGGGAACUUGAAUACGGGAGAGGGUAGUGGAAUUCCUGGUGUAGGAGUGAAAUCCGUAGAUAUCAGGAGGAACACCGGUGGCGAAGGCGGCUACCUGGACCGAUAUUGACGCUGAGACGCGAAAGCGUGGGGAGCAAACAGGAUUAGAUACCCUGGUAGUCCACGCCGUAAACGAUGAGUACUAGGUGUUGCGGGUAUUGACCCCUGCAGUGCCGCAGCUAACGCAUUAAGUACUCCGCCUGGGAAGUACGGUCGCAAGACUA